GCUCAGGUGGCCUAGUGGUUAGAGCGUCCGCCUCGGAUGCAGGAGGUCGUGGUUUAGAACCCCAGCUAAUAGCU